AAAGAAACGAAAGAACCCCUCCACACUCUUGAAGCGCAUGUCUCCCGAGUGACACUCAAACAACCGAGGGUCCGUGAAUGCACCGUGAUGGAACGCGCAGGUGUGGAGGGCGCGCGCGUGCGCGAGAGAUAACGCGCUCAUUGUGCCCUGAUAUUGACUGGCGACCAGUCCACGGCGUUGCCCCCUCUGGCUAAUGAGGACAACCGCUGUUGCAGACGGUCGUCCGAAAUAACAUUGUCUGACUGGAAUCUACUGCUAUUUAUGGCACAAAGCUGUCAUUCGCUUGCCACGGUUGCCACGGUAACAGGUAAUGAAUGGCGCAGCGUCGGCGGGGGGUUACUUUUCUUUCUUUUCAUCAGGUUGCCGUUGCCAUCCAACGGGAAGUCAGCGGGCGUUGGAAGAUGACAGACGCGGCUGAGGCAACCCAUCCCAACCCAUCGUUUGACGCCGAGCGGGACAAUGCGCCUGAGUCGAUACCGCCACUAAUCUCGCUUCCCGGUCAAAGUGGCAAUCUUGCUUUGGCAUGACCUUAGCAUUACUUUGAGUCGCGUCGCCUCGCGUUUGAGCAAAAGAAAGAGCGUAGCGUACCUUUUGCUAGUAAAGGUUUGACAUUUGAAAAAGGACAUUGUACCACACACCUUGUUUUCAAAUUAACUCAGCAAAGAGUCCUCAAGGAACCGCAGGGUUCUGUUUUAGGUAGGCUGCAUACUCUAUAUUCAUACUAGCCACUGAUUUUUUUUUUUUCUUCAGCGCUGUUAUGUAUAUGUAGCUCCUGUAUAACAUACAGUAUAUAUUCUUUAAUGCAGUAUUAUGAUGGGUGUCAAAUAUUUGCAGAUUUUUUUUCUGAUUCAUGUAGCAAUAUGAAUUUUGUUUUGCUAUGCUGACAUAGAUUUUAGCGAGAAACAUGAAGCAGACAAGUAUUAUUUGCCACUCGUUCGCACCUCGACAACACCCAAGAUCGGGCGGGAUUCACUUUUAGCGCGGCAAGCCACAUGCUAACAAAGUGUUAGCGUUCACGCUCCACAUUCUAUUUGGGGUUCAGUUCAUUAUCAUUUUGCCGCCACCGUUGGCACGCGAAAUGUGAUGUAUUUGGAACGCAACGUGUCUGGAACACUGUUACUACUGUGCAAUCAAUCCUACGACUCGGACUGCUAAUCUAUAUUUUCUUACUUUUUAUUGCUGGACUGCACCUGCUGCCUGUCAGCCGGCCAAUCAUAGGCCAGCGUCAGGCCCGACUGUAUGAAUAUUCAUGAGUUGGUUAUUUAAGAGGCUCUUGCCAUCAGAUUGGCGACAAGUUGAACUUAAUCCCACUUUUUUUUUUUAAUCUGAUGAUCCGCGUGUUUCCGAAAAGUGGACUGAUGAUACGUAAGCUUCUUAGGUCGUCGCUGUUUGCAAGCACCGCCAAUAGAUUAGAUUUUUUCCUCUUUUUUUUUUUUCCAUUUCAAACGUAAAUCUUUACUCAUUGUUUGUCAUGGAAAGUGGUGGAGUAACUUUUAAAAAAUAAUUUAUUAUAGUUACUCACUACUUGAGCCAAAAAGUAACUGAAUUACUUUAUAAUAAAUGUACCAGAGAAAGUAACUGUUUGAGUUAUUAUAAUAAGUGGAACAGAUAGGUACUUAAGGUACAUAACCUUCAAUAUUUAUUGCACAAUGUUUAUCCUGCACUUGAAGUAUUUUGUUCACAACAAAAGUAAACAUUUCAACAACAUAAAGUGUUUUAAACUCUGUAAUCCUAAUUCAAUAAAGCAAACUCCCAAUCUCAGA